rnacentral:rRNA from 1 species
AGUGAACGCUGGCGGUAGGCCUAACACAUGCAAGUCGAACGGCAGCACAGUAAGAGCUUGCUCUUACGGGUGGCGAGUGGCGGACGGGUGAGGAAUACAUCGGAAUCUACUUUUUCGUGGGGGAUAACGUAGGGAAACUUACGCUAAUACCGCAUACGACCUACGGGUGAAAGCAGGGGAUCUUCGGACCUUGCGCGAUUGAAUGAGCCGAUGUCGGAUUAGCUAGUUGGCGGGGUAAAGGCCCACCAAGGCGACGAUCCGUAGCUGGUCUGAGAGGAUGAUCAGCCACACUGGAACUGAGACACGGUCCAGACUCCUACGGGAGGCAGCAGUGGGGAAUAUUGGACAAUGGGCGCAAGCCUGAUCCAGCCACACCGCGUGGGUGAAGAAGGCCUUCGGGUUGUAAAGCCCUUUUGUUGGGAAAGAAAAGCAGCAGGUUAAUACCCCGCUGCUCUGACGGUACCCAAAGAAUAAGCACCGGCUAACUUCGUG